rnacentral:rRNA from 1 species
UACGUAGGGAGCGAGCGUUGUCCGAAGUUACUGGGCGUAAAGCGCGCGUAGGUGGUUCGUUAAGUUGGAUGUGAAAUCCCCGGGCUCAACCUGGGAACUGCAUUCAAAACUGUCGAGCUAGAGUAUGGUAGAGGGUGGUGAAUUUCCUGUGUAGCGGUGAAAUGCGUAGAUAUAGGAAGGAACACCAGUGGCGAAAGCGGCGCACUGGACCACAACUGACGCUGAGGCGCGAAAGCUAGGGGAGCAAACAGG